AGAAGCAAUAAGAUUUUCUAUAAUGUUCAGGUUCUAGAGUGUGUGUAUGUGAUUCUUUUGUUUUUUGAAUUGUUUGUUACCUUUGUGGGUGUUUCCUUUUUAGAAGCCAUCUUGGAACCUUGCUAAGGAGGAGGCCCGCCUCAAACCCAGCUCUCUUAUAGAGGGAGCCAUGAUGGCUGAACUUUGAUUGGCUGUGGGUAAAUUGAGAAGGCGGGGAUAACAGUAUAUAGGUGGACUGAUUGCUGUAGUAAGAGUCUGAUGGGAAAGCUGCCAUUUUGUGUUCAGUAUAACCAUGCUCUGAUGGAAGAACCUUAAUAAAUGACCUUUUGUUUUUGCUCCAACCAACUUUGCUGGAUUUUUCCUUCCACACCACACCUCUCAGCACAACAGUGGUGUCAGAAGUGGGAUCUUUACGCUUUUGCUUGAAGGAGGAAAUCAGGCUAAAUGAGAGGAGUAGGACGUGGAAGAACUCGAGGAACAAGGAAAAACCCUCUUUCUGAAAUGGAAGAAAGAGAUAGUGGAGGAACAGCAGAACCAGAUCCAGCACCUGAAGGAGUCAUGUCUGGUGAAGAUGUCUUUGAACCAGUGGUGCGGCCUAAACAGACCACAGUUGGUACUGUGAGUAAAGAACUUUGUGAAACUGACAUCUUUGAUGAAAUAAGAGAAUUUAUGCGACAUUCUAAACGAACCGAAGCAAUUUUGUUUGAACAGAUUAAACAGUUGCGCAGUAACAUGCCAAAGCUGCAAAGUGAUGUAUAUACUGAACUUGAUGAGACGAUUGUACAGACUGAAGUUUCUACAGAAGCAGUUUUCCCAAAGCGAGAGAGCAGAACACUAUCUCAGCUAUUAGCAACAGAGCAAGCCCAAGGAGCCUCUGGUUACCAAGCUGAACCUCGUUAUCCAUCUCAACCACUUCCUGCACAGCCUCAGCUGCGUGGUGCGCAUGAUGUUCCAGGACAAAGAGUGGAACCAACCCGUGGAGGUGAUCCUAGGAUACCUGACUUCAAGGAAGGUGAGGAUCCUGAAAGUUUCUUCAUACGUUUUGAACGCAUAGCUAAAACAUGGGGAUGGCAACCAACUGAAUGGGCUGCUAGAGUGGUCACAUUAUUGACUGGAAAAGCACUGGAGGCCUAUGCUGGUAUGGAUGAAGACCAGUCAGACUCUUAUGAAUCUAUUAAAGCUGCUGUGCUAUCUAAGUUUAAUGUGACAGAAGAGACUUACAGAUACCGGUUUCGAAGCACCAAUGUACCUGUGGGAGAGAGUGUGCAUGAAACCUACAGUCGGAUAAAGGGACUCUACAAGCGAUGGAUGCGGCCUGACAGUCGGAGUAAAGAAGAGAUCGGGGAAACCAUCAUCUUGGAGCAAUAUCUACGUGUGCUUCAUCCAGACGUCCGCACAUGGGUGAAGGAGAACAAUCCAAAGACCGGAGAGGAAGCUGCAGAUCUGGCUGAACGUUACUUGGCUGCUCACAGAGAACCUUCAAAGUCAAGAGUAACUGUGGGGAGACCAAGGUUUGUGGAGGUAAAACCUCCAGAUGCAAUAAAGACUGACAACUUGGACAUGAGGGGUGGUCAAACACAUUGUCCGGUGUUUGGUAGACCUUUUCUCCAGAGUUGGUAUCCCAAAGGAGAUUCUAACUGAUCAAGGUACCAAUUUCAUGUCACAAGUGAUGAAAACUCUUUAUGAUCAACUGGGAGUAAAAGAGAAGUACCACAAGCCUCAACUGGUUUUUCUCCUUUUGAGUUGCUUUAUGGGAGACACGUUAGAGGCCCUUUGGACAUGCU